rnacentral:rRNA from 1 species
GACGAACGCUGGCGGCGUGCCUAAUACAUGCAAGUCGAACGCAGUGGGGACGGGUGAGUAACACGUGGGUAACCUCCCAUCAGAGGGGAUAACACUUGGAAACAGGUGCUAAACCGAUAUUGGUGGAUGGACCCGCGGGGCAUUAGCUAGUGGGGGGGGUAACGGCUUACCAAGGCCACGAUGCAUAGCUGGCCUGAGAGGGUGAUCAGCCAAACGGGGACUGAGACACGGCCCAGACUCCUACGGGAGGCAGCAGUGGGGAAUUUUCGGCAAUGGGGGAAAGUCUGACCGAGCAACGCCGCGUGUGUGAAGAAGGCUUUCGGGUCGUAAAGCUCUGUUGUUAGAGAAGCGGUAUCUAACCAGAAAGCAACGGCUAACUACGUGCCAGCCGCCGCGGUAAUAC